UGGGGAAUCUUCCGCAAUGGACGAAAGUCUGACGGAGCAACGCCGCGUGAGUGAAGAAGGUUUUCGGAUCGUAAAACUCUGUCUUUUGGGGCGAACGUGAGUAUGGUGAACAAUCAUAGUCAGUGACGGUACCAAAGGAGGAAGCCACGGCUAACUACGUGCCAGCAGCCGCGGUAAUACGUAGGUGGCAAGCGUUGUCCGGAAUUAUUGGGCGUAAAGAGCGCGUAGGCGGGAUAGUCAGUCUGUUGUAAAGUGCGGGGCUCAACCCCGUGAUGGCAAUGGAAACAGCUAUUCUUGAGUGCAGGAGAGGAAAGUGGAAUUCCCAGUGUAGCGGUGAAAUGCGUAGAUAUUGGGAGGAACACCAGUGGCGAAGGCGACUUUCUGGACUGUGUCUGACGCUGAGGCGCGAAAGCCAGGGGAGCGAACGGGAUUAGAUACCCCGGUAGUCCUGGCCGUAAACGAUGGGUACUAGGUGGUGGGAGGUAUCGACCCCUUGCCGUGCCGGAGUUAACGCAAUAAGUACCCCGCCUGGGGAGUACGGUCGCAAGACUGAAACUCAAAGGAAUUGAC
rnacentral:rRNA from 1 species